UAGGGAAUCUUCGGCAAUGGACGAAAGUCUGACCGAGCAACGCCGCGUGAGUGAAGAAGGUUUUCGGAUCGUAAAACUCUGUUGGUAGAGAAGAACGUUGGUGAGAGUGGAAAGCUCAUCAAGUGACGGUAACUACCCAGAAAGGGACGACUAACUACGUGCCAG
rnacentral:rRNA from 1 species